GACGAACGCUGGCGGCGUGCUUCACACAUGCAAGUCGAGCGGAUCGGCGAACGGGUGAGUAACGCGUGAGUAACUGCCCCCCUCUCUGGGAUAACAGUUGGAAACGGCUGCUAAUACCGGAUAGUGGGGGAUGACUCGCGUCCUAUCAGCUUGUUGGUGGGGUAUUGGCCUACCAAGGCGACGACGGUUAGCCGGCCUGAGAGGGCGACCGGCCACAUUGGGCGGAGAUACGGCCCAAACUCCUAAGGGAGGCAGCAGUGGGGAAUAGUGAACAAUGGGGGAAACACUGAUGCAGCAACGCCGCGUGCGGGAUGACGGCCUUCGGGUUGUAAACCGCGUUCAGCCAUGACGCGGUAGUGGCAGAAGAAGCACCGGCUAACUACGUGCCAGCAGCCGCGGUAAUUC
rnacentral:rRNA from 1 species